GAUGAAGAACGUAGCGAAAUGCGAUACUUGGUGUGUAUUGCAGAAUCCCGUGAACCAUCGAGUCUUUGAACGCAAGUUGCGCCUCAAGCCAUUAGGUUGAGGGCACGUCUGCCUGGGCGUCACAUAUCGUUGCCUGAUGCCAGUUUCCUCGUGAUGGGUGACUGUGCAGGGCGAAUGAUGGCUUCCCGUGAGCAUUGUUGCCUCAUGGUUGGUUGAAAAUUGAGUCCUUGGUAGGGAGCGCCGUGAUAGAUGGUGGUUGAGUGACGAACGAGACCCAAUCAUGUGAGACCCCUACCGAAUUUGGCCUUCAUGACCCACAUGCGUCUUUGGAACGCUCAUGACGAGACCUCAGGUCAGGCGGGGCUACCCGCUGAGUUUAAGCAUAUCAAUAAGCGGAGGA
rnacentral:misc_RNA from 1 species